rnacentral:rRNA from 1 species
AUUGAACGCUGGCGGCAUGCUUUACACAUGCAAGUCGAACGGCAGCGCGGGCUUCGGCCUGGCGGCGAGUGGCGAACGGGUGAGUAAUGCAUCGGAACGUGCCCAGUAGUGGGGGAUAGCCCGGCGAAAGCCGGAUUAAUACCGCAUACGACCUGAGGGUGAAAGCGGGGGACCGAAAGGCCUCGCGCUAUUGGAGCGGCCGAUGUCGGAUUAGCUAGUUGGUGGGGUAAAGGCUUACCAAGGCGACGAUCCGUAGCUGGUCUGAGAGGACGACCAGCCACAGGGGAACAGAGAGACGGUGCAGGCGCGUACGGGGGGAAGCAGGGGGGGGGGUGGAAGAAUGGGCGGAAGCCUGAGCGAGCAGUAGAGAGUGAGUGAAGAAGGGCUGCGGGUUGUAAAGGAAUGUUGGUGGGAAAGAAAAGAAGCAGGGUAAAAACCCGCGGUGGGGACGGGACCAAAAGAAGAAGCAACGGCUAACUUAGUG